rnacentral:lncRNA from 1 species
AUUGUUUAUGAAUUUCAUUCACCUUUAAAAAGGGGGGGAAAAGUAAAAGAGAAGGAGCGGAGAAGUAGGAGGUGGUGAAGAAAUGGUGUGAGAGUUGUCAGAAAAUGGAAUGUAAUGUAGUUGGGAUGUAGAUUUGAGAAGAAGGUAGAAAAGAAAGAAGAAAAAAAGGAAUAACAACAGCCCACAAAGCCACGUGAUGCGGAACCGGAUACACCAUUAUGGGAGGGAAGCUUUGACGGUACACCGUCCCAAUCACACACGUUCACAUUUCGCAGGUGCCAUACCACUUUUCAUUCUAGCUUCACCCACACAACCCUAACCCUCGGGUAUGUAAUGUGCUUAUGUAACCCUAUGCCAAUUUCCCAUGCACUCAUAUUUUAGGUCUAAGAAAGUAUGCCUUCCAUCCUUCUAAGUUAUAACCACUAUACACAAUAACACACUUGUGUUGUGGACUAUUUGGAAAGAAAAAAAUACAUGAAACAAUAUUUU